GACGAACGCUGGCGGAGUGCUUAACACAUGCAAGUCGAACGAAGUGGCGAACGGGUGAGUAACGAGUAAUCAACCUGCCCUUCAGAGGGGGACAACAGAUGGAAAAGACUGCUAAUACCGCAUACUGAAGGAGGGGAUUGCGUCUGAUUAGCUCGUUGGAGGGGUAACGGCCCACCAAGGCGAUGAUCAGUAGCCGGUCUGAGAGGAUGAACGGCCACAUUGGGACUGAGACACGGCCCAGACUCCUACGGGAGGCAGCAGUGGGGAAUCUUCCGCAAUGGACGAAAGUCUGACGGAGCAACGCCGCGUGAGUGAUGACGGCCUUCGGGUUGUAAAGCUCUGUUAAUCGGGACGCGGUACCGGAAUAGAAAGCCACGGCUAACUACGUGCCAGCAGCCGCGGUAAUAC
rnacentral:rRNA from 1 species